rnacentral:rRNA from 1 species
UACGAGGGGUCCUAGCGUUGUUCGGAAUCAUUGGGCGUAAAGGGUGUGUAGGUGGCCAUUCAAGUCAGUUGUGAAAUCCCCGGGCUCAACCCGGGAAGUGCUUCUGAUACUGUUUGGCUUGAGUACUGGAGAGGAUAGUAGAAUUCCUGGUGUAGUGGUGAAAUACGUAGAUAUCAGGAGGAAUACCGGUGGCGAAGGCGGCCACCUGGACGGUAACUGACGCUGAGACGCGAAAGCGUGGGGAGCAAACAGG